rnacentral:rRNA from 1 species
AUUGAACGCUGGCGGCAGGCCUAACACAUGCAAGUCGAGCGGAGCGGCGGACGGGUGAGUAAUGCCUAGGAAGCUGCCUGGUAGUGGGGGAUAACGUCCGGAAACGGGCGCUAAUACCGCAUAAUAUCAGAUGAGCCUAGGUCGGAUUAGCUAGUUGGUGGGGUAAAGGCCUACCAAGGCGACGAUCCGUAACUGGUCUGAGAGGAUGAUCAGUCACAAGGGAACUAAGCAACGGUCCAAACUACUACGGGAGGCAGCAGUGGGGAAUAUUGGACAAUGAGCGAAAGGCUGAUCCGGCCAGGCCGCGGGUGUGAAGAGGGUCUUCGGAUUGAAAAGCACUUUAAGUUGGGAGGCGUUACCAACAGAAUAAGCAACGGCUAACUUCGUGCCAGCCGCCGCGGUAAUAC